CCUUCCCCCAUCCGUUACAGACCUAAAAAUAGCUCGUCCCAGAGGGGCCGGGAGAGGCUCCACCUCUUCUUGAGGUUGGGCGGGGCGGCUGUAGUAGGAGCUGGAGGCACCAGAGACCCCAGGCCACUAGCUGACCGGCGCACGGAGGAGCUCUCUGUCCGCGGCCCCGCAGGUUGGCGGCACUGGAGUGGGCCGGGCAGGCUCUGCCUCCGCCGCAGAGGGCGCCCGGGCUGCGGGGGGCUGGGGAAGCAUCCCGGGAACGGCGGGCGGUGAGCAUUCGGGGAACCAUCUCUGGGCUGUCUGGCGCGGUGGAGCAAGUCUGGAGGCGGGACGUGGAGCGAGUAGGGGAGCCGCCACCUCGAGACGUCUUCCCGCCGCCCGCGGCUCCAGGAGACCCCACGGACGCAAGCUGUGGAGCUGAGUCGGGUUCAGACAAGCCCUGCUGAAAUACCUGGAGAAUUUAGAAUCCCCAACAUUAACCCUGUCGUGAUUUGCUGUAAACUCUGUCAGCGCUUGCACUUUGGUCAAGAAAACUCAGGCCUUCUCUCAGCUCCUUGGUCUACUGCCGUGGCCUUGGUGCCACCCUCCUCUGGUGGUCGGCUCAGGGCUUCCUCUGCCCAUGCAGUCCCAAGCUGCCACUGCUGAGGGCCUCAGUGGCCCCCUCUUUGGGGCCUACACGUUCCCCACCUUCAAGUUUCAGCCUCGCCAUGAUAGCAUGGACUGGAGACGCAUUAGCACCCUGGAUGUAGACCGCGUGGCCCGGGAGCUGGAUGUGGCCACACUGCAGGAGAACAUUGCUGGCAUCACCUUCUGCAACUUGGACCGGGAGGUGUGCAGCCGCUGUGGGCAGCCUGUGGACCCGGCACUGCUCAAGGUGCUGCGCCUGGCGCAGCUCAUCAUUGAGUACCUGCUGCACUGCCAGGAUUGCCUGAGUGCCAGCAUUGCCCAGCUGGAGGCACGGCUGCAGACCAGCCUGGGCCAGCAGCAGCGUGGUCAGCAGGAGCUGGGCCGCCAGGCUGACGAGCUCAAGGGUGUGCGGGAGGAGAGCCGCCGGCGUCGCAAGAUGAUCAGCACCCUGCAGCAGCUGCUAAUGCAGACAGGCACCCACAGCUACCACACGUGCCACCUGUGUGACAAGACAUUCAUGAAUGCCACCUUUCUCCGGGGCCACAUCCAGCGCAGGCAUGCAGGCGUGGCAGAAGGUGGAAAACAGAAGAAACAGGAACAGCCAGUGGAAGAGGUGUUAGAAGAGCUACGGGCCAAGCUAAAGUGGACCCAAGGGGAGCUGGAAGCCCAGAGGGAGGCGGAGAGGCAGCGGCAGCUCCAGGCUGAGAGAAGUGAAGAAGCUGCAGAAGAACAGUUGAAAGCUGAAAGAGGUUGGUUCAUAGGUUUAAGGAAAGAAGCCAUCUCCAUAACAAUGAAAGUGCAAUGUGAAGCAGCAAGUGCUAAUGUAGAAGCUGCAGCAAGUUAUCUUGAAGAUCUAGCUAAGGAAGCAGAGCUCAUUCAUCAGAGGGAAAUAGAAGCUAAGAAAGAAUUUGAUAAAUGGAAAGAACAAGAGUGGACCAAACUUUAUGGGGAAAUAGAUAAACUAAAAAAAUUAUUUUGGGAUGAAUUUAAAAAUGUCGCCAAGCAGAACUCUACACUAGAAGAGAAACUGCGGGCACUGCAGUCCCACAGUGUGAUGGAGUCCAACCUGGGAUCACUGCGAGAUGAGGAGUCAGAGGAGUGGCUCCGGCAGGCACGGGAGCUUCAGGCCCUGAGAGAGAAGACAGAAAUUCAGAAAACGGAGUGGAAAAGAAAAGUGAAGGAACUGCAUGAAGAGCACAUGGCUGAGAAGAGAGAGCUACAGGAGGAGAACCAGAGGCUCCAGGCCUCCCUGUCUCAGGAUCAGAAGAAGGCAGCUGCCCAGUCCCAGUGCCAGAUCAGCGCCCUCCAUGCCCAGCUGCAGGAACAAGCUAGGAUCAUUGCCUCCCAGGAGGAGAUGAUCCAGUCCUUGUCUCUCAGGAAGGUGGAAGGGAUCCACAAGGUGCCAAAGCCUGCGGACACAGAGGAGGACUCUCCGGAAGAAGAGAUGGAAGACUCCCAGGAUGAACAGCACAAGUUGCUGGCAGCUCUGAGGCAUAACCCCACUUUGCUGAAGCACUUCAGACCAAUCCUGGAGGACACCCUGGAAGAGAAGCUCGAAAGCAUGGGGAUAAGGAAGGAUGCAAAGGGAAUCUCGAUUCAGACUCUCAGACACCUGGAAUCCCUGCUGAGAGUCCAGCGGGAGCAGAAGGCCCGGAAGUUUUCUGAAUUUCUGAGUCUGAGGGGAAAGCUUGUCAAGGAAGUCACCAGCAGAGCGAAGGAGAGACAGGAGAAUGGCGCUGUGGUGUCCCAGCCAGACGGGCAGCCUUCAGUCAAAAGCCAACAGAGCACAGUGGUCACCAGAGAGGCCCAGCCAAAGACCAGGACCCUGCAGGUGGCCUUGCCAUCCACACGGGCAGAGCCACCCCCACCAACUCGUCAGAGCCAUGGCAGCCAUGGCUCCAGCCUGACCCAGGUGUCCGCCCCCGCUCCACGCCCCAGAGUGCAUGGACCCUUCAGCACCCCUCCUUCCUCGGGGCCCUGGAUGAGCACGCCUCCGUUCAGUUCUGAAGAGGACUCAGAGGGAGACCGUGUGCAGCGUGUGUCUCUGCAGCCCCCGAAAGUUCCUUCCAGGAUGGUGCCCCGGCCCGAGGAUGACUGGGACUGGUCUGACACAGAGACCUCAGAGGAGAAUGCCCAGCCCCCUGGCCAGGGCUCAGGAACACUGGUGCAGUCGAUGGUCAAAAACCUGGAGAAGCAGCUAGAAGCUCCGGCAAAGAAGCCUGCUGGAGGGGUCAGUCUGUUUUUUAUGCCCAAUGCUGGGCCACAGAGCGCUGCCAUACCAGGAAGGAAGCCUCAGAAUUUUAUAUUGGCUAUUUUUCAAAUUUGAAAUUACAUCACAUUCUUGUGAGGCCAUCCCAAUCUCUACAUAUGGAUGAAUGCGUGGAAUGCUCUGACAGGCCUUAACCCCCACAUUCCUAGAAUGUGAUUUCUUUCAAUGUUGACAUACCCCUGCCUUCCACACACAGCCACCUGCAGGCCGGCUAGGCAAAAGGCCUGUGGAUGGAGUGAGAAGAGCAAGAUAUGUCCAUUGUGCAAGGCAUGCCCAAACGUUUUCCACCAUGGCUUAAAACUGAAGCUGGAGAGCAUGAUGUCACCAUGUCAGCUGGAGGCAAGAAAGGACAUUGGUUGGAAGGGACCACUGGUGUUGCAGAACAACAGUCUUGAAGGCUUUCGGAGGCUAUGGCUGAGACCACCCCCAGAGGCCUGCUUCAUAUGUGGCAUGAAGCCCUUGAGGUGUGGGGAGACUGCCUUGGGAGUCAGAGCUGGGCACGCACAAGGUGAACGAUGCCUGCUGUCAUUGGAUGUCAUAGACCUGAGGCAGCACUGUGAACAGAACAUGGAAGGGUGAGAGUGGAUGCAUGGGUCCACACAUGUGACAAUGGGCUUUUGAUAGCCCAGAGUUAUGAACUUAUUCUGUGAAAAGUGUGAGUGAGAAUCACCCUAAGUCAGAACUUCAGCACCAUUUUAGGUGCCCAUACCCUAGGAUGCACAUCCUGGGAUUCGUACUCUGGGAUCCACACCUUGGGAUCUCACCCUGGUAAGCCUACCUCCCCUUUGUCUUUCUCAAGCCACAAGUGAGUGGUGCUGCCACAGGGUUCUCCAUCUAAGGCACGUCUACCUGGGGUAUCAAUUUUAUUUGAAUAUCUGAGGGGAUAAAAGUUAAGCAUUUUAACUGGUAAAUAACUUUAACCUUAAACAGUUACAACAGAUAUAGAUAUAUUUUGGAGCAGAAUGCAACAUGCACAAUACUUCAUACUUAGAGCUGUCCACUUGAGUCCUGGCUCUGAUGGCCUUGCAAGGACAUAGGCUAUUUCCUCUAUGUAUUUUUUUAAAAAUUUAUUAUCAUUAUUAACAUAUAAUUCAUAUAACAUAACUUCAGCACGUUAAGGUAUACAAUUCAGUAGUUUUCAAUAUAUUCAUAAUGUUGUGCAACUAUCCCCACUGUUCCCCUGUGUUUAAGGUGUCCUUUCAUGGAAAGGUUCAGGAAGUGCUGCCUGCCGAUGCCACUCUGCCUCCAGAGUGGAAUUUGCAGCAUCAGUGACAGGAGAUAGGGAAAAACUUUUAUUAGAGGAGGACUGGGUGUCAUGGGGCUGCAUUUUCAGCUCCUAUCAAGUCCUUCCACGUAGGCAACUCUCCUUCUUUCUAUUUGAGAGGCAGACCAUUGCUUCGUGUGAGAGCUUGAGUAUUCAUGCUGUGCUGUGUGGAUUAUCACCCGAAGAAACAAGGAUGGAGUUUUCCUGCCAUCGACAUCACUGACUCACAAAAGACAGCUUAGAAACUGUGAAGACUCCUGAGAGACUAGAAGGGGCUGGAUUUGCUUUUAAUCAGGUUUCAAUGCAGAGACGGGUGUCCUGUCAAUUCCCUUAUUCAGAGACACAUUUUUUGUGGCAUUAAUAAACAAAGUCAGCAUUCCCUGGAGACCAACAAAAGCCUGAUCCAAUGUGAGUUUGUGCCUUUCUGUAAAGAUUUGUGGUGGGAUUCCAGGCGGUAUAAAUAAUGGUCUUCUACUCACUGCAGAUACCUUGGCUAUUCCUGGGGGCCAGAUCCUUGGUUAUGUUUUUGUUUUAAAUCACAUUUUAUGCAAAUUCACAGGCAGGCUCAAACAAUGGCGAGUCCUCUUGUCAUUCCUGGCCAGUAGCUCAGCUGAAUGAAGAUUCAGGAGUAGAAAAGAAGUCUCUGAACUUGCCUCUGCUUUGAGAUUUUCUUAUCUUGCAGAUUCUCCUGAGAUUUUUGCGACAACCAUAUACCUUCUCAAAGCCAUAUAGCAAAGUCUUGCUAGCUUAGAUCCUAAAUUUCAUAAUACACACCCAUUGCAAGUUCCAAGAAUUCACUGUAUCAGAAAAUAGCUCCUGCCUCUUUGAGAAAUGGUAAUUUUUUACGUAGCUCUGAAUAACAUAGCUAUUCUUCAUAGACCACAUACUGUGUGCUAGAUGCUUUAUGCAUUAUCUUUAAUCCUCACAACAACCUUGCAAAAUAGGUAUUAGCCUCUGUUGACUAGGCUGCUGAGGCUAAGACAGGUUAGUAACUGGCCUGCUUUCACACACUGGGCUAGGAAGUGCCCUGCCUCAAAAUUUCCCAAGACACCCUCCCCAGCCUGUGAACCAUACUUCUCAAUUGGUCUCAUGUCAGGAGAGUUGAAACAUGGGCUUCGAGUCAGACAGACAUGAUUCAGAUCCUAGCACCAGUAACUACUAGAUGAAUGACUGGGCAAGUCAUGUAACCUCCCCAAGCCUCAGUUUCCUCAGCUGUAACUGUGAUACAGAUGCUUUGGGAGGUAGUUAUGGGAAUGGAAUGAGAUAAAUGCUUCCAAGUCCCCAGAAUGGCAUUAGCACAUUGCAUAGCCGACCAGAAUCUCGACAAAUGAUCCUUCUCUUUUCUUCCUUAUUCAUCUUUAUACCUGUUGUGGCACCUGGCACAAAAUAGGUACUCAAAGAAAUAUUUGUGGAAGUAAAUUCAAAGGAUUCUCCAUGACCUUGUUUCAUACAGACAUCAUGAAGUGGGACCCUCUCCAAAAGCUCCCUGGAAGAACAAAAGAAGUUUUGAAGCAUGUCAAAGCUACUCAUGGUUACAAUCUUUAGGAUGAGGCAGACAGACAAAAAUAAUGCUAAAAAUAACAAUAGCACUAACAUUCUGAAGUAAAAUUUACUAGGUGGAGUGCUGUUGCUCUUCAAGGAACAGCAGUAGUUGAGGAUUGUCAAGUACCCUGAAGCACAAGGGACAAUAAAUGUGACAAGAACAGCUCCUGGGUUUGGGGGAUUAUUCAACAACGAUUAGAUUGGUUAGAGAGAGUGCACUUUUGUAUGUGUGUCCUUGCUUAAGAGUAGAGAAAAUAAAAUAUAAGAUUUUUGAAUAUUUAACAUGGGGUGUUAGAGUGAAUGCAUUUUCACUGAUGCAGGGAGUGUUUGGCCGAGGUCCAUCUCAGAAAGGAAUUCAAGAGGGCAAACAUGUGGCAUGUGUACUGCUGGUUCCCAGUCAGUCCUGUGACAGGCAUUGCCAAUUGAUCAUGACAAUCUUCCAUUCCUGAGUCCUCCUCAGCAUAGUCAGUUGGAAUUGGCCUGAGUUGGCAUUUAAGAUCAAACAAUUUGUCGUCCCUGGCUCCAAAAAGGAACACUUGUAUGCAUUUAGUACCUGAGAUUCAAAGACUCCCUCCUCAGGAGGCUUCCUUUGGUCUCCUGACAUGGCCAGGUCAUGGCACCAAAGCUACUAGCACCUUUCACUAUGCCACAGAGAUUUUAGUGAAAUAGCCAUAUAUAUAUAUAACUUUUUUAAACUACUUUUUGCAAUGUGUAUGCCCUGGAACUCAGACAUGAGUCUAUGCACACUAGCUUAGAGGGCAAUAGAAGUAUCCCUCAUCCCUACUCAAACUUGUUCUUUUUCACUUUUCUUCUCAUGAGUUGGGACUUCCCAGGACGUUGUUCAUUCCUUAUGUUUUCUGAGUCCACAAAACCCACAUGACACAUUGGAUAUUUCUGUGGGAGUUGGACCUACACAUGAUCUUUAAUGGAGGCCUGGCCUGGAUGUCCAUGUUUUGAUUCAGAUGCAUUGGCUUUAAGUAAUAGUAAAUCCCAACUGAAAUUGACUUAAGCAAUAAAGAAACUUACUACACAUAAGGCCGGGCGCGGUGGCUCAAGUCUGUAAUCCCAGCACUUUGGGAGGCCGAGGUGAGUGAAUCACCUGAGGUCAGGAGUUUGAGACCUGCCUGGCCAACAUGGUGAAACCCCGUCUCUACUAAAAAUACAAAAAUUAGCUGGGCGUGGUGGCAUGUGCCUGUAUUCCCAACUGCUUGGGAAGCUGAGGCAGGAGAAUGGCUUGAACCCAGAAGGUGGAGGAUGCAGUGAGCCGAGAUCACGUCACUGCACUCCGGCCUGGGUGGCAGAGCGAGACUCUGACUCAAAAAAAAAAAAAAAAACAAAAAAAAACUUACCACACAUUAUAAAAAGUUCAGAGGCAGGGUGUUGUCAGGUGAGGAACAUAAAGUAGAGCUCUGGCUCCAUUUCCCUAGGCUUCUUUUGUUCUACCUUCAUCCAUGUUGGUUCAUCUUUGGGCUGCAGUAUUCCAAUGUAUCACAUGUAGUCAUGAGAAUGCUUAGAUGGAGGAAGAAGGUGUGCACGUGUGUGUGUGUGUGUGUGUGUGUAUGUUUCCAAGGAUGGAGCUGCCUCUUUUGUUGUCUGUUCAUUAAGAGUGAAGAAGUUUUCCCUUCAAUGAAGAAGUGCUGGAAUCUUUCCUUUUUGAACCACUAGUCAAAACUGGGUCAUGUGCUCUUACAAAACUCACCAUAAUCUUGCCAUAUGAUGUAGCCAUCAUGCUCCUUGGUAUUUACACAAAGGAAUUGAAAACUUACCUCCACACAAAAUCCCACACAUAGAUGUUUAUAGCAGAUUUGUUCUUAGCUGCCAAAACUUGGAAGCAACCAAGAUGUCCUUCAGUAGGCGAGUGGAUAAAGAAUUGUAUUACAUCCAGACAAUGGAAUGCUAUUCAGUACUAAAGAGAAAUGAGUUAUCAAGCCAUGAAAAGACAUGAAGAAAUCGUAAAUGCAUAUUAUGAACUGGAAGUAGCUAGUCUGAAAAGGCUACAUACGGUAUGAUCCCUCCUAUAUGACAUUCUGGGAAAGGCAAAACUACGGAGACAGUAAAAAGAUCAGUGGUUGCCAGGGGUUGGGGAAAAGGCAGAGCAUAGAAGAUUUUUAUGGCAAUGAAGCCACUCUGUAUGAUACUACAAUGGUGGAUAUGUGUCAUCACACAUUUGUUGAAACCCAUGGAAUGUACAGCAACAAGAGCGAAUCCUGUCAACUCUGGUGAUAAUGAUGUGUCAAUGUAGGUUCAUCGGUUGUAACAAAGGUACCACUCUGUGGGGGAUGUUGAAAAUGGGGGAGUCUAUGCACCUGUGUGUAUGUGAGGAAUCUCUGUACCUUCCUUUCAAUUUUGCUGUAAGCUUAAACUGCUUUAAAAAAAUAAAGACUUAGAAAGAAACUGGGUCAUGUGCUCCAUCCCCUAAACCACUCACUGGUAAGGGGAAUGGGACACCAUGACUUAGGCAAAUCAGAAUAUACCCCUUGAGCCGAGGAUAGUGCCACAGGAGGGAGGGGUUGAUUUACAAUAUUAAUAAGAAAAAAGUGAUAGUGAUGGUGGAAUGGAUGUUGAGUAGGCAAGCCAACAGUUCUUGCUUCACAGGGAAAGAGCUGAUUGGAUCAGAGGUGGACUCUUGAGAGAGGGGAUCUCUCUUCAGAGAGGGGUGGCAGACAUUUCAUUGGCUAGUGGUCAAUCAGAUUUUCUCUCUUGAGAGAAUUUAAACUAAGAGAAACAUAGACUUUGCUUAGGCAGUAGUAGAAGCUUGAAUUAGAAGUUCACACAGAAUUGGAUCUGGGUGGGGCAACCGUUGUUAGUUGAUGAGUAAGCACUUGGCAGGGACAGCCAAAAUCUUGGAGUGGGUUUUCUGUUCCUUGCAUAUGAAAAUACUUGACCAGGGUAUUCAUAGAUGUAUGCAUCUUAGGGUGAGCAUAGCUUACAUUUAAUCUGGGCCCUCUUCCCACCCAGUAUAUGCAUCUUUGCAGUUCUCAAACUAAUGAAGCCAUUUCUGAUGGGUAAAUAACACUAAAACUAAGAUGAUGACUGCUAUUCAAGGCCCACCUGCUCUUGAGUGUCUGGAUAGAAUCCUCAGUGACAUUUGCAUGAGAUUCCCCACCUAAUAAGGUCAACAGGAUCUCCAGUUCCUUAGGUCUGACCCCUUUUUGCUAGGAGAAUCCUGAGUGGCUUACACAUUAAGAUCAUGAUGACAGCUGGAAUUUCCAGUAUCUUCUAUGCUGGUCCCAUGAAGGCUUUGAUCACAGUUGCUGUUGCUACUCUUUAUCUUGCCCUUACUUUGGAAUGAUGAUUUAGCUGGGUGUAAAAUUCUAGCUUGACAGUUGUCUUCCUUCUGAUCUUCGAAGAAAUGAUUACAAAGUCUUCUGUCAUUUUUUUGGUACUGAUGUCAGUCUCAUUGCCAUGGAUAUGUAAUACAUAUUUUUUUUCGUAUUUUAAGAUGUUCUUUUUAUUGUUGAUAUUCUCCAUUUUCACUAGAGUGUAGCUAAGCAUGGUUUAAUACUUCUCAGGAGACAGAGUGUUUUCAAUACUGGAACAUAUGUCUUCAAGUCUGGAGACAUUUCCUCUCCUUAUUCUGACUAUUCUCCUUUCUUGGAACCUGAAUUAAAUGCAUGUUAUGAAGUUCCCCAUCCUGUGUGUCAUGUCUCCAAAGCCUCUUCAGUCAUCGUAUCUCUUUCCUUUUCAUAUUGGGUCAUUUCUUUGACUUGCUCUCCUCAGUCACUAUUGCUGUGUCUAGUCCACUAUUUAACUUAUCUGUGUUUCUUGUAUCAGUGUCUAUAUUUUAGAUUUCCAGCAUUUUUAUUUGGUUUAUUUUAAAAUCCCACAUGUUCCUCCAUCCCCCCACCACACGAUUCUUUAUGUUUUUGGACAUUUUACAUACGCUUAUUUUACAGUCUCUUUUAGAUUUUUCUAUUAGCUAUAGAUAUUGAGAUGGGAUUUCUCUUGGUUAUUACAUUGGGUGGUUUUCUCAUCAUUUUUUUUUUUUUUUCACAUGCUGUCUAAUUCUUGAUAGUGAGCUUAUCUUUAGUGAGAGGUGUUUUUGUAUGGGGAGCUCGUGCAUGUCCUGGGGUGUGGAUGCAUCCAUAAGGAGUGCCUACUAUGGGACUCAACAGUUUCACCUACUGCAGGCUAGUUUUUUCCUUUAUUUCUUUAAUUUUUAAAAAAUUUGCUACAUGGUUCAUAGAUGUUAUAUUUUAACAGCAAAGUUUCUUCAUGUUUUUGUAAAAUAGAUAUUUAAUACAUAUUUGUUGACUAAGUGAAUACAACUGAAUCUUGAAAAUAUAUUAAAUGUAUGAAACCCAAUUUGGAGAACAAUAACUGAACAGUUCUACUGUUCACAGAAAGAAGAGCUAGCUUCUAUGAAGAAAAAAAGAGUGUUAAGGGGUUGCACGUAAGUGGAGGUGACUCAUGUUCAGCCUGUUUUUGGAGCUUCCAUUCCGUUGAAACAUGAAUCAAGGCAGAGCAGAAGAACUGAAGGGCAGUCAGCUACAGGAUCUCACAACAGUGUCUUUACGCUCAUUGUCUAUCCCAUCCUACUCUGCAAACCGUACCCUCACUAGCUGCUCUGGGAUUAAAUUGUCCACUGCAGGGGUCAUAAUAAUUUCCUUGGGAGAAUCUGGCCUAAAGACAGCUGCUUUGGAAAAGAUUUUUCUUUCACAUCCUGGAGGAAAAUAUGCCUGAAGGAAGACUAGAGUUGAACUAUUUGCCAUCAAUGAUGAUGACUAAUUGAUAACUCUGUAAUCCUUUUUAAAAAAUAGGUUUUAGAUGAUUAAAUGUAAACAGAGUAGUCUUAGUUUCAUUUCUUUUAAAAUCUUAUCUCUGUACAACUUUCAUAUAUAUACACAGUUUCCCUGUUAACAUCCUAGUGUGAAAAAGUUAUUUUAGCAGAUAUUUUAAGUCAAUCAACUCGAUGUACUGGGCAUAAAAUUACAUUUUUUGCUGUUAUUCUUCCAGGAGUCUAGAAGUUUCUCAUUUUUUAGCACAUUCUGAUUGAGAACCAAGGAUUAUGAAAUUUCCUUUAUUCUUACCAAUACUCAAUUCAUCCAUAAACACACAACAAAGAGACACACAUAUCACACAAAAUAUUCAAUGUUAGCACACAUAAAAAGAGAGAUCAAAACAUAAAAACAAAUGUCUAACAAACUGAUAGAUUGGUGAGAAAUAUGAAGUGAAAGUCAUCUUUUUUUUUUUUUUUUUUUUUUUUUUAGAAGAUACUACCUCCUAGUAUGAGGCAAGACAUUCAGAGAAUGACCAUUGAUGAAUUCUUUGUCAUUGGUACUGGCUUUGCUUAUUAUCUGGAGACCCGCUGAGAAAUGCCUUUGACAUAUGGUGAUUGUGAGGGAAUUCUCAUCCUGAAACUUUUCAUGUCUAUAUUAAAUAUGUACAAAGUAACAUUUUCAAAAGUAUUUUUUCAAUUCAGUUUACAAAGUUAAGAUUUUCCUGCUUUAGUAUUGGAUUUAGAGACUGCCAAGACUUAGCUAUUGCUGUUACCUACUUAAUUCUACUGUCUUUCCUCUUUGUACGUAUGGCAAUAUGUGCUUCUAUAGGUGGAUUCACACUCCCAGUUAUGUGAGGCAAUAGGAAUGCUGACAGCUGCCCAGAACUGCUGUGAUGGUGGAAGGUGAGGUGCAGUGCCUGACUGCCUCAAAUUCUCAGGCUUUGAGUCUUGCAUUACAUCUAGUGAUAUCCAGUGUCCUAUUCAACAAGGUCUAUUUCUGAUGCUCUUUAUGUCUUCCUGCAGAUCCUAGUUUUCAUCUAGUAUCAUUUUCCCUCAGAUUGAAGAACUCUUUUAGCAUUCUUUUUAAUAGUGAAGAUUUUCUGGCAAUGAAUCUUCAUGGUUUCCUUUUAUCUGCAAACUAUAUUUUGCCUUCAUUCUUGAAGUGUAUUUGUACAUUUUUUUUCUGUCAGCCCCUAAAAAAUACCACUGUCUUCUGGCCUCAAUUAUUUUUCUUUUGAUAUUAUCCUGCAAGUCCCUGAGGUUCUGUUUUUGCUAAAACUUUUUUCUCUAUUUUUGGAUAAAUUCUAAUGAUCUAUCUUCAAGUUAACUGAUGAUUUCCUCUGUUACCUCCACUUUGCUAAGUUCAUACGUUUUUAAAUUUCAGAUUUUGUAUUUUUAGUUUCAGAAGUUCUGUUUUCAAGAAUAGUUUCCAUUUCUUUGUGAGAUUUCUUGUCUUUUUAGUCAUUAUUAGCAUAUUUUCUUUUAUGUAUUUGAGCAUAGUUACAAUAGUUGCUUUACAAAUCCUCAUCUGCUAAUUCCAAUGUCUGGGUUAUCUUGGGGUCAGGUCUCCAUUGAUUACCUUUUCUCUUAAAAAUAGGUCAUGUCAUGCACAUGUCAGAUAGUUUUGGAUUGCGUCCUGGGUAUUGUGAAUAUUAUGUUUCAGAGACUCUAGAUGCUCUUAUAGUCUUCCAAAGAGUAUUGAUUUUUUUUGUUUGCUGGAGAAGACAAUUAAUUUGCUUCUACUCAUACAGCAAACUUCGUGUCUUGGGGACAUCUCAAGUCUCCAUUCAGCUUUGGAUCCUAAGUCAGCUGUUUGUAGUAAGCCCUAUACUUGCAUGGCUUAGGGUUUAAUUAGAGACUCAGGGAGGGAUUUUUAUAGAAAACUUGGAUCUUCUCCCUCUGAGUCUCUUUUUUCUAAGAUUCUUUGCUCACCUUAUAGUGGCUAUAGUUGCCCUGAACUCUGUCUCAUGGUUCUUCAGGCCAGAGAAACUGCAGAUUUUCUAACAGAUUUUAGGUACUUCAUGCCACCUGACUUUGGCUUGUCCUUGGGCCAGAAGCCUCAAAAACGGGAAUUUGCUUUAUACCUUUCCUCUCUUUUAAAUGUCAACUACCCUUCAGAAUAUGUCCGUCUUUGUUCACCCUCUAGUGGCUUCAAGUAGUUACUUUUUGUAUUUUGUACAGAGUUUAUAUUUGUUAUCUGCAGGAGGGUUAGCCUGGUGGGAGCUUACUAAGCCAUACUGGAAGCUGAGUUCCUCCUGCCUAGUUUUUGUGUUAAUUUCUGUGGAGUUUUGGCGUGUUACCAAAGAGGCCAUGAAGGUCAUUUGAUGCCAACCCUCCAAUAAAUUCCUUAUUGGGUUCUCUCUGCUCCAUUGGCUGUACCUUUCUGCAGAUGGAUGGGGUGUGGCCCGUCUGCACAAAAGCUACUGGUGGGCGGGUUCUGCCAGCUGUCAUAAGAAGACAUAGUCACAUUUGUUCACUGCUGACUUUUAAAUUAUCUCUAUCUACAUUCUGACUCCUCCGCCCCUCAACAUUUUUUUUUUUUUUUGCGGCUGGACAUUUUUGUUUUUCUUACUCUCUCUUAAUUAUGACUUAAUUCUUAAGACUUGGGCAAACACUUCCAGUAUCAUAAGGGGCUUGCUGCCUGGUGGGGCAGCCUGUGCCCCACUGUGAUACUUUAUUCACCCUUCAGCCAGACUUCAUCCUCCUUACCAGAGGCAUUGCCGUGGCAACCUCCCUCCUCUGGGCAAUAAGUAUGGGCGGCAAAGUCCUACAUGCUUAAUAUGUUUGAUAUUUUACCUUUCAAAACAUUCUUUGGGGAAAUUCAAGUUGGCCUGUCAAACAAAAUAAAUAAGCUUUUUAUUGUCAACAAGGGCUAAGGGCAGCAGCUUUGAUAACAGGGAAAGCUUGGACUGGUCAAAAACUCGAAACCAGAGUGAGCAGGUCACAUCUAGUUCCACUUGAGAUGAGAAAGGAAUGGGAAACCUCUCAGUGCUGAUGGAAACUGACUCAGAUCCCAGAUGCUGCUGGGGAAGCUCUAGCCUAAGGUGGCUGCUGGGAUGAAGUGAGCCCUGGUCCAAACCCAACCUUGUAAUGUUUGUGUAGCUGUCACCACUGGAGGGAACAGGUAUUUCUCCUACAGACAGUCCACCUUGGGAGUGCUGGGGCUUUCCUUUCCCUUCUGGGUGGCAUCACACCAGAGUCCUCUUUAGCCUGGAAGCCCUUAAGAGUGCACAUAUGUCACAGAACCCACUGAGAGCUUUGCAGAGGCUGAGGGACCGGGUAGCCCAAUGUCCUCCCCCAUCUCUGCCAUCUGUCUAUGCACUAGUUACAGAGACAGGCUUUUAUUGGGCAUUAUUUAAAAUUUGAGUGUUAAAAAUUAAAAAUUUACAAUAAAUUAAGUAUUACGCUUCUUGGCUUCAUUGGCAAAUAUUUUUUUCUUUAAACUAGAUUUAUAUGAAUUUCUCCCUAUCUUUCUUUAUUUUUCUCAUUUGUGUUUUUCUUCCUUUUCUCUGUCUCUCUCUCUCCCUUUUUUUCUUCCUUCCAUUUAAAAAAAUGUAGUUAUGAAUUUAUUUUGCCCAUUUAAUGGGAUUUUUCUCUGGCAUAUUGGAAACAAAGUGAGGUGUGGAGUCAGACAAACCUGGUUGGAAUCCACGCUUUUCUAUUUAUUAGCUAUGUAGACUUGGCAUAGCUGUCCCGGUUUGUUCAGGCUGAGAGGUUUUCUGGAACACAGGACUUUCAGUGCUGAACCUGGGACAGUCCUGGACAAACUGGGAUGGUUGGUCACCUUACUUGGACAAGAUACUUAGCCUCCCUGAGUCUCGGUUUCUUCACCUGUGAGCUGGGGAUAAUAAUACCUGUCUCAUGGGGGCUAUUUUGAGGGUUGGAAAUAGUGUAAGAAAAGGGCCUGAAACUAUGUCUGUGACAUUGUAGAUUCUCAAUAAUCAUAAUGAUAAUGACAGCAAUAUUAACAUUAAUAAUCAUCUGUAUUUUUUAAAGGCUCAGAGAGAUUUUUUUCUGCCAUCAAUGCUUUUCUCUUUUUUCCUAAUGUCUUUUCAAGGAGAAAAAGUUUAUUUUGUUUUCUUCAUUUUUAUGUAAGCCUGGGUAUUAUGGUUUGAAUGUUUGUCCCCUCCAAAACUCAUGUUGAAACCUAAUUCCCAAUGUGGAAAUAAUGAGGAGUGGGGCCUCUAAGAGGUGAUUGGGUCAUGAGAACUUCACUGUCAUGAAUGGAUUAAUCCAUUCAUAGAUUAAGAGACCAGUGAGUUAAUGGAUUAGUGGGUUAUCACAGGAGUGGUACUGGUAGCUUUAUAAGAAGAAGAGAGACUUGAGCUAGCACACUUGGCUCCCUCACCACAUGAUGCCCUGAACUCUUUUGGGACUCUGCAGAGAUCCCCAUCAGCAAGAAGGGCCUCACCAGAUGCAGCCCCUUGACCCUGGACUUCCCAGCCUUCAGAAUUGUAAAAAAAUAUAUUUCAUUUCUUUAUAAAUUACCCAGUUUCAGGUAUUCUAUGAUAAGAAACACAAAAUGACUAAGAAACUGGGUUUCUGAAGCUUUGCUAUGUCCAACUAAAAAACAAUAGCUGCUGAAUUUUCCCUGAUGUCUAACAUCUCUGAGUAGAAUCCAGUGAUAACACAUGGUUGAGAUUAUCUUUUAGAAACCUUGAAAAAUUCAUCAAGGACCCAAAAGUCUUCUUUAGAGAUAGGCUGCUCUGUGCAUAGCUCAUACAGAGCCCCUUCCUUAUCAGAUGCAGGUCUGAUGAGUUCCAGGUGUUAAAUAUUUGGGGACUCAGGGUCUGUUCUGGACAUUUCCCCACACAGGUGGAUCUGGUUGGCUCAGACCACCUGCCAACAUUAGGCCACCCAUCCUGAAGCAAGCCCAUCCUGCUCUUUCUGGAUGGCCCUUCUAGUCAGGAAAAGGAAUUGGAAACAGAAGGCCAAUGGUUGGGAGGAGAUGAGGUCUGUGUGUUCUUGUGGAGCAAGCAAGAGGCUAGCCUGGUAUGGACUCUAGUGUUUGUUCUGGCUCCCCUGAUAUGCCUGUGCAAAGGCCUUGAGCAUGUCAUUUCUCCUUUCUGGUCCUUGUUCACAACAGAGGUAUGGGCCUCGGCUUUCCCGUCUUCAGAGGUGAGUAGAAGUGAGUAAAUGGGGAAAUGAUUGCCAAUUGCCAAAGAGUCUCUAAAGGGGAAGAAAAGCUAAAGCAAAAUAGUGUGAGAUCAGUUUCUGGGCUCAUGACCAUUUUAAUUUAUUGGUUCAGAGUGAACAGAGAACUCUACUCAGCCAUGACUUAAUAACUUCCUCCUUCCAAGCUGCCUGAGAUGGUCAUGUCUCCAGGUAAUGAGCUAUAUCUGCUCCUGUGGACUUCAUGUCUGGGUGUUGUUUUCUAUUUUUUAAUUCUUCAGUUUUUAGUUUUUUUUCUCUAGAUAUAAAAUAAAGCUAUUCUCAUUGAAGAAAAUUUGCAAAGUACUGUAAAGUACAAAUAAAAAAAUAUCAUAAUUAUAUCUCCAAUCAGAAGCAACUGCUUAAAAUAUUUUGGAAUAUAUUUCUUUCAGGGUGUUUUUCAAUGCACCGUUUAAUAGACUUAAUGUUAGAAAAAUACUAUAAUAAUUUUAAUGACUAUAUAAUUGUUUACUUAUAUAUAAAGACUAUUAGAAAUCUUUCCCUCAUUAGGUUUUUAGGUUGAUCCAGUUACAUUAUUUUAAACAAUUGAUAUAUACCUUUGAGCAUAAGUAUUUAUGAUUAUUUCCUUAGGAGAAAUUUAAAGAAGGAGCAUUGCUGGAUUAAAGAAGAAAUAUUUCCAGCUUUCUUCCAUAUUACAUAUGAUUCUACCUUUAUGUUACCCUAAAAUCUAAGUUAAAAGAUAGGACAAAAUAUAAUGUUUUCUAUGUAAGGAAUUUGUAUGAUCCUUGGUCUGCAAGUAGGACCCACCCACUCCUUGAAGUUUCUCUGAAGAAGAAGAAUUCUAUGCUUUCUUUUAGCUACACACUGUGGCAGGGGUGACUGAGAUUUCAUCUUAUUUGGUUAUUAGGGAGUAGCUGCAUUUAGUAUUGAAUAUUGUGGUGGUGUGGAUACUCAAAACCAUCACUGAUAGACGAUUUUGGGGUAUCUAAAUUAAAUACCCUUACUCCAGAAUAGAAUUUGGACAUAUUUAAAGCAUUUUAGUGACGUUUUGUCUCUACAAUAUAUUAUAGUGUCUUACAUAUUGAAUAUUAAUAUAGUAUCUUACAUAGUGAAUAUUAAACCACAAGAAACUUUUUGCUUAUCGUCAUCUCUUAAGGGCCUCACGUGCUCAUUUCACAUUUAUUUGGGCUAUUAUGAAGAGAAUACCCCCUUCCCUUUCUAGCUGUGGGUUGGGAAGUAUGAAAAAUCAGCCUGACUUUAGCUGAAGGAAUGGAAUUGUUCAAAAGCCGUUCUGAGGCAUAUGCAAAUACUUAAGAGUAGAAAAAUCAAAGAAGUGACGGUCCCUGAUGAGGCUCUGAAAAUUGAACCAACUGUGUGGUAAAUGUGUGUAUGUAUGAGUGUGAGUGUGUGUGUGAUCCUUGAGUGUUUAGAGUGUUGGGCCACUAGUGGGGUGAGAUCAGCGUUGUUGGAGGGUUAAAGUUUAUAAAGCACUAGGCACAGUACUGAUUAUUAUGAGGACUCAGUACAGAAGUUAGUUAGAUAAUGAAAAUAUAUUAGUGAAUAAUUGUAAUCAAUCCUGAAGGUCACAUAAUUGGUUGGCAAUGCAGUCAGAACCAGAAAUCCAGGUUUUUGAUUCCAAGCCCAGUGCUCUCUCCAGUAGAACACGUCAACUCAGAGAUAUCAGGCAUUUUGGCAAAAACUGUGGCUGUUGCAGUAGUCAACCAUGGAUAACGUCCUGUGGAGGCAGGAGAGGGCUGGAUACUACCUAAGCAAAAGGUAAGAGAACUGGGGACUCCCGGAGAUUUUUAUGGGUAACACUGCUGAGUCAUAUUUUGAGCCUGUAUUCCAUGGCUUGGUUCGUCCAUUUCUGUCUUUGUACAAGGAGACUUCAAAAUGCCCCUAAAUUUUAGAAAAUUUAAAUUUGAAUAGCUCAAAAUUACAUAACCAAGGACAGCUUUUUACUGAUGACUUUUGUAAUCUCACUUGUUUAAAACUGAAUGUAAAGUGUUUUGUUUUUGUCUUUUUUUUUUUUUUUAAUUUUUAGGUUUUAAUUAUCAGCUUUCUUUGAGAACCAGAGUAAUCUCUCAGAUCCUUCCUUGCUGUACUAUAUACUGUUUGGUAACUAGUCAAAAAGGCUCAGAAGUUAUAUCUCUGAAGCUUUCUCUGGAGUUCAGUUUCAACCAAAAGAAGAAAAAAAUCAGGCAAAGCAAUGAGUUUGCCUGAUUUCUAAGGACCCUGGGUCCUUAGAAUACAAGUCUUCAUGGCAUAUGACAAAUCUCCAUGUUUUGACUGGGGGACCCAGUCUAGUCACCAAACUAGAUACCACUGCUCUGGCUACAGGAAGAGGUUUAGGGAUGGGUACAUUACUCAAAUAAUCUAAUGUAUUUUGUUAGGGUUUUUCUCCUAUGGAUAGAAGGAAAGAGAUGCCUCCCUUUGGCUAGGUUUCCCAUAGCUGAAACAUGGCUUUAUGGCUAGAAAUAUAAGCAGCCAACACAACAACUCACAAUCUUCUUGAGAAGCAAACCAACAGAGAAGAAAGCAGAACUGAGAUAUGGGCAGAGAAAAAUAGAGUCUUAAUCAUAACCCUUGAUUCAGCUGUGUCUGAAGUCAACCCUGGCCUCAGAUCCCCCAGUUACAUAAGCAUUGCCCUCUUUGUCUUAAAGUUGUACAGCUUGGUUUUCUGUCACUUAAGUGGGUCCUUUACUUGUAUUAUUCCAUUAUCCUUAUCAUCCCUAUUUUACAGAUAAGGAAAUGGAGACUCAGAAAGUUUAAGGGCUUUGCUCAAGCUAACAUAGCUGGGAAGUUGUAUGACCUGGAUUUGAGGUUGGGCUGUUCUGACUAUAUAGCUUUUGCUGCUUUUGUAGCUUGGAUACAGCCUCAGUUUAUUGAGCUGGUCAACCCAACUUUGGCAGCAUCAAGAGGGCAGGCAUUGGCUCUCUUGUUUUACUGGCCCACAAACAGGACAAUGACAUUAGACACUUCGGGCUGGUGUGCUUAGGGUUAGACAGGCUAAACUGGAUCCUUGGACCCCAUGCUGCAUGCCUGGUUGCUCUGGGAACUCCUUUUCAUUAAGGCUUCCCAACUUGCAGAAACCACAGUCUGGUCUGGACCAACACCUAGCUCUAGGUAGCUAGGCUGCUGCUGAGCAGAAAUGGAUUCUGAAAGCAGAAAAACUCCCAGGAAGAAGCAUCCAGCGUUGAGGUGCUGGGACUUCCCACCUCCACUUCCCAAAACAUAAGAAAAAAGAGCAGAAGCUCUUCAACUGUAGGAUAACAGUGUUUUUAAUAUUUAAGUAACAAAACAUUCAGGUUAACACUCAAUGCAUAUACAAUAAGAUAGAGCAACAACAACAAAAUUACAAAGCACAAUCUAACUAUAUGGAGGCUUUCAAACAAUUAAGUGUUGGAUAGAGAAUGUGCUAAUUAAAAACCCAGCUGAGCCACACAGCACUGCCUGAGACCUGACCAGAGACUUUCUGGUGGUAGGAGGGAGAGCUCAUUGUGCCCUGUGGCCUUCAACUCAAAUGGAUGCUCUUCAACUCAAAUGCAGAGAGCACUUAACAAUCUCCAUGCUCUAGAUUGCCCAACCCUCCUCUUUGCUUUUCUUUUUUCUUUAGUUGACUUGUCUGCUCAUCCUUUACCCAAACUGAGGCAGUGAGUUCCACAGACACUUUCUCUGGUUUGGUUUAAAUGUUGCUGUCUCAGUGAGUAGGGCCUCUGAGCUCACUGCUCUGACUCUUGAACACAACUUGUUAUUAUUUAAUGGGGCAUAAUCUGUUCUUUCCGCAGACAUAGUCUGUUCAGCCUGAAGAUCCUUAUGAGUAUUCACCAAUCCCCUUGGAGGUCACUUUCAUAUGUACUAUUGAUGUGAGGACUUUACUCUCAAAUAAUAACCUAAUGGCCAAGUUCCCCUGCACCAAUGCUGCUGUGGGUAGUUUUUAGAGACUGCUCUUACCUCAGUUUCCUAGGGGGCCUAUCUGGCUUUGGUACUGGGAUGGAAUGCUACUGUCCUGGAAGGAAUUUAGACUUUCCGCUCAAAAGGGCAGUGAUGUAAGCUCAGGGAAGGUGUGUGGUUACAAAGAGCUUUCAGUUUUGCCCAAAUAUCUGAUGGUCCAACCACUCUAGGUGAAUUCAGAGAAGGGAACAGCUCUCAGAGUAACAAAACUGACCACCAGCCAGUUGUGAUGGCGCACACCUGUAGCCCAGCUACUUGGGACGCCAGGGUAGGAGAAUUGCUUGAGUGCAGGAGUUUGAGGUCAGCCUGGAAAGUGAGACCCCAUCUCUAAACAAAGCAAAACAAAACAAAACCGACCACAGUGUCAGGAAAGUGCUAUUGCCAGCUGGCAGUGGCUCGUAACCGUGCAAAUGUGGGUAUGUGUCACUUGGAAACAUUACAUUUAAUUCAGGCUCAACUUUUUUUUUUUUUUUUUUUUAAAAAAAAGAAUUGGUUUUAACCUACUUCCUAGGACUUGCUGUGUUCCAUUAUUUAUUUUUUAUUUUUUAGACAGGAUCUCGCUAUGUCACCUGGCUGGAGUGCAGUGGUAUGAUCAUGGGUCACUGCAGCCCCAACCUCCCUGGGCUCAAGUGAUCCUCCCACCUCAGCCUCCUGGAAUGCUGGGACUACAGGUGUUCGCCACCAUGACUGGCUGCUUUUUUCUCUAUAUUUUGUAGAGACAGGGUUUCUCCAUGUUGCCCAGGCUGGUCUUGAACUUCUGGGCUCAAGUGAUCCUUCCUCCUCAGCCUCCCAAAGUGCUAGGAUUACAGGCGUGAGCCACUGUGCCCAGACAUUAUUUAUUUUUUACAUGGCUUACACUUAUUAUCAUGUAUAAUCAGAGCCAUAGAGGCCUCAAAGGGAAAGAAUUAGGAUCAGUGAGCUUUUCAUGGAAUUUGUACUUAAGCAUGACUUUACAAAGUACCAUAUAGACAAUGUCAAAGCAAUUAUUUUUUCAUUUCCUUCUAUCCACAUGUAGGGGUGAGGCUAAUUCACAGAGAUAGUGUAUCAUUUUACUAAAACAUUAUUUAACUAUAUUUAGGACUUAAAUUUAAAAAAAAUAAUUUUCUCAUUCAUCUAGGGACAAUUUCUGACCCACGACAGAAAGAGGACUCCAGUGGAGAGCUCAGGAAACUCCUAGGAUGGUCUUGCUGGAAUAAGAAGAUGCCAACAGCAGUAGAAAGGUUUGGUUGCCUCAAACUGAAAAUUACUUUGGUUUGGUAACUUUUAAGAUCACAGUGUAAGAAAACCAAGAUCAUGGGCUGGAGAGAUUACAAAUAUCUUUAUCUUAUUGCUUCUUCUUCAGUGUUUAUUACUAGCCAAGCUGGGGGUGGGGAGACAAAAGCCAAAUAGCAGAAAAUAGUGUCUUUGGAUCUACUCUGUUUUUCCUUUCAAAAGUUUUCUUGGGGAUAAGCUGGGAAAUAGAUCAUCAAUGGGUUUAUUGACUAGGAGGAAGAGGGGGAGUCUGUCUAAAUCAUCAAAAUGUGAGAGAGAGAUUAAAACCACAUUCUCUCAUCAGAGUAGAAAGUUAUAUUUAAAAAAAGAAAUACAGGAUUGAAAAUGUGAGCUGUAGCCUCUAAUUCAUAAAUAACUCAGCUGUUUUAUGAUGGAAUAUUUAGAGACAGAGACAUGAGGCUAAAACCAUUCGGCCUCUCCCAAGAUGAAAUCAAGGCUUUUCUAACUUCCAGCUGUGAGUCAAAAGCAAUAAGAAAUCAAGAUGGAAUCUCCUUGUUUUUUGGGUGAGCUCUCUGGGAGUUUCUUCUGCCCGUGCUGAGAGGUCUUAGAGCAUUACACAUAGUCGUGCUUGGAAGGAUAAGAUUGUACCUCGUCCUCUGUGCGGGCACCCCCAUCGUAUAUCUUCUUGUUUUUGGUGUUGGACCCAAAGCCAGUGCUGGCCUUGAAGCCUCCAGGCUUGUAAGCAACACUGUGGCCCGAGGCAUGGUAAGAAACGGCUUUGUAGCUGAAAGAAAAAUAAACAUUCCGUGAUUGUAGAUGUCUUUGUUAGGAGGACCAACCUCCUAUUUACCCUAAACUGUCUCAGUCUUGGCACUGAAAGUCCAGUGUCCCUGGAAACCCGUCAGUCCGGGGCAAACCAGGAUAGUUAGUAACCCUAGUUUUUGGUACACUGGUUUUUCUGCCUCUGCAGUGGAACAGAAGUUCUUGCACUGUUUUAGAGCUUUGCUGAGCCGAGAACAAAAUCUCCUGAGAAUAAAACAAUUGUGAUUCCAAAUGGACAUUUUUGGAUGGUGGAGAGAGGUAUCCCCAAAUCCUCAGUAACUAAUGAGUUCCCUCUGUUAAUCAAUAAAAAUAAAGCUGAACCAGAAACAAUGUCCAGGGGAACACUGUUACGUCAAAGGAUCAUAGAAUUUGUGAGCUGGAGGGUACCUAUGUUCAGCCCAUUGCCUCAAGCUGCUCAUUUCAUGGAUGAGGUGAUAGAGGCACAGAGAGAGCAAAUAACCUGCUGGAGGUCACAGGGCUGGUCAGCAGCAGAACCACGCUGGAAUCCAGCUCUCCCCACACCAGUUCAAUUUAGGGAGUUACAGCAGAGUUUCUCAGCAGCAGCACUGUUGACAUUUUGGAACAGAUGCUUUUUUGUCGUGGGACAGUUCUGUGCACUUAGGGUGUUUAGCAGUAUCCCUGGCCUCUACCCGCCAGAGGCCAGUAUCACUUUCCCCCACCCUCCCAAAAUUGUAACAAUUAAAAAUGUCUUCACAUGUUGCCAAAUAUCCCCUGGGGGGCAAAUUGCUCCUAGUUGAGAACCAUGGAGUUACAAAACAAUCUCAGAAGGAACCAAGAAGGAAGGAUUUUUCUUUCAAAUAGGCUCACAUUUAAAUCAGUCUAGGCUGAAAUAUUCCCAUUCUGUUCUUUAGGUUCCCCCUAAAAGAGAAGCUUCGAUAAUCCUUAAGUCAAAUAAAGUUCAUCCAUAUACCUAAUUUUUUUUUUUUGGCUGCAAGUUAUACAUUAAAAUAGACCCUGAACAAAUAAAACAUCUGGUUGCAGCGGAGCAGGGAGACUCACUUGGUUUCUUCUGGUGCCAGGCCCCGGCAGGCGAUGCACAUCAUCACACCCCCAAUUAGUGUGAGGCCUCCAGCGACCCAGCCCACGAACAGAGCCGCACCAAAUGUGUACCUGGGUGGGGAGAUGGUGGCUGUCAAUAUGGUUGACUCAACUCUCCAGGGUCCGCCCACUGCACCUGGCUGUGCCUGUUCUUUCUGUCCCCACUUUUGGAUGCCACAUCCAUCCCUGCCCAUGCCCCUGAACACACAUUCCUGUGGGUCACAGCCAACUGAUCAGGUACCCUGGAGAGUAGAAUUGGGACUAAAGCUAGGGGGCAAAACAGCAGGGGGAUUCUAGCAUCACUCAACCAUAAAAUUAUAAAUCUUAUCUCUGUGACACAUCUCAAGAAAUCUCCCUCCCCCCUCUACUGGCAAAAGAAAGUGUCUUGAAGGUUUGGCAAGAGAAAUUUGAGAGAUAUAAAAUCAAUCUUGACUGGGUGCGGUGGUUCAUGCCUGUAAUCUUAGCACUUUGGGAGGCCAAGUUUCAACUGAGGUCGGGAGUUCAAGAGCAGCCUGGCCAACAUGGUGAAACCCUGUCUCUACUGAAAAUACAAAAAUUAGCUGGGUGUGGUGGUGCACGCCUGUAUUCCCAGCUACUCAGGAGGCUAAGGCACGAGAAUUGCUUGAACCUGAGAGGUGGAGGUUGCAGUGAGCUGAGAUUGUGCCAUUGCACUCUAGCCUGGGCAACAGAGGGAGACUCUGACAAAAAAAAAAAUCAAUCUCAAGUUAUUAUUUCUGAAGGAAUUUUAGUUCUUUGAGUUCUCAGUAUGGGCCAACAAGCAGUCAUCUUAACUUAUCUCAAAUAAUCCUUACAACCAUCCAUACAGGUAGAGCUAUUACCUUCAGAAGGAACUAAGUUGAAGUGACUAUUCAUUCUUUUAUUGAUGUCUUUACUUAUUUGUUCAACAAGUCUUUAUUGAGCUCCUACUAUGUGCAGAGCCCUGCCCUGGUACUGGGACACAGGGCGAACAAGGUAGACAGAGACCCUGUGCUCAUGGUGCUUCUGUUCCAGCUCACAAGAGAAUUCUAACUUGGGGUAGUCUGCCUCCAAAGCUGGUGCCCUUCGCCUAGGGGGGCUGCCUCCAAUGAGACUCAAUUACAUCAGAUCAGGAUUGAGAACAAAAUCUCCUGGGAAUAAAAUAAUUGUGAUCCCAAAUGGACAUUUUUGGAUGGUGGAGAGCAGUAUCCUUCAAGUGACCAAAAAACUGUUAGGAUGUCAGUGUGUAUUUUAAUGCCAGCUGAUAACUUGAUUUCCAGCUCCAUGAGCUCUGGAGAAAAGCAGAGCUCAGCAUGGAAAAGGAGUGCCUCCCCUUGGAAGUUUCCCUUUGUGUUCCUCAAAGAGCAUGGGGACUGUUUGUAGAACUCUAUGAAUUACUAAUAUGUUUAAAGUCUACGACACAAGCUAAGAACGUUAUACCAACAAUAUACCAACGUAACGUAACAAUACGUUACGUUGUUGGUAUAACGUAAUAUGUUAUAUGUGUAUAAGUAAUAUGUAUAAGUAAUAUGUGUGCAAACCUCUGCAACCUAAGAAAAUACAAUACUUUAGAUGUGCUUUAAAAGCACGCACAUUGGCUGGGUGUGGUGGCUCACGCCCGUAAUCCCAGCACUUUUGGAGGCCAAGGCAGGCAGAUUGCCUGAGGUAGGGAGUUUGAGACCAGCCUGGCCAGCAUGGUGAAACCCCGUCUCUACUAAGAAUACAAAAAUUAGCCAGGUGUGGUGGCAGGUGCCUGUAAUCCCAGCUACUUGGGAAGUUGAAGCAGGAGAAUUGCUUGAACCCGGGAGGUGGAGGUUGCAGUGAGCUGAGAUUGCACCAUUGCGCUCCAGCCUGGGCAACAGAGUGAGACUUCAUCUCAAAAAAAAAAAAAAGAAAAAAAAAGAAAAAAAAAGCACACACACUUUAGCAGGAUUAAAGUAAACAAUGUAAGCUUCAUGAUCAAGUAUAGUUGACUGAGCUCAGUCCUUGAAAAAGUUCUGGGAGAAAAUUUACCUGUAGGCUAUUUUUAUUUCCUUGGACUGGGAAAAAGACAGAAAUUUGGUUUAAAGGCUUCUGCCUUGGCAUGAAGAGCCCUGCCCCCUCAUCCUGCCCGGUGUGGCUGGGGCUGAACAGCGGAUCUUUUCCUGGGGCUCCUCCUAGGGGGGUCUCUAGGUGAUUUCCUGGUGACAGCCCUGGUCCGUGGGCCCUGACACAGACAGAGCCCCUGUCCUUGAUACCCCUAUGGAUGGUUGAGUGAUUGCUUAAUGCUAAUGAUGAUAACAACAAUUGCUACCAUUUAUUAAGCCCUUACUGAUAUUGUGAUAAGCACUUUUUACCAUUAUCUUGUUUAAUUCUCCCAAUAGCCACUGUGAUAGUAUUUGUCACUUGCAUUUUACAGAUGAAGAGAUUGAGGCUUAGCAAGGUUAAGUAACUUCUCCAAUGACCCAGGAAGGACACGAUAUCAUCAGGAUUCAAAUUCAGGUCACUUUGCCUUCAAAACUCUCAGUGUUAAUGCAUCUUCUGAGCAUGAGGGACAAAGUCCUUUUCCUCAACUUAGACACUCUGGGUCAAGGUUAGCAAACCUAAAUACUUACCUGGGACAGGCAAGAAACUUAAAUGAGUGAAGUGAGCUAGACAGAAGAACAUAUUUCAUUUUCUCAACUGUAAUAUAUGGGAAAAAUCCCUAUAAGCAUGAGUUGGGCUGUUUGGGCAUGGUGGAAAUUGUGGUAAACUGGACAGGGUGAGUCCUAGCCAAAAGGGCAGCUGCCUCUCAGCUGCAGAUGGCGGUCACGUGAGAAUGAGGGCCCAGUGUAAUGCUGCCAGAUCUUCCGAUUUUUUGCACAAAGCUAGAAAAGCAGAGUAUGUGUAUGUGUGUUGGGGGGUGAAGUCUCCUUGUAGUAGGCACUAGUGGUGCUCUACCCUUUAACCGUUUCUGUGGGUCUCUUCUCCAGCUUGUGUAUUCCUUUGCCUUUACCUGCUGGCCCCUGUGGCUGCCUCUGGAAUUCUGGCUUUGGUUUAGCCACUGAAGCCACUCUGCCCACAGGGACUGACUGGGGGGCCCAAGGUAUGAAAGCUCAGCUCUUUAGUUUGGAGUCGAGACAACUCUGGCGUAUAAUUCACACUGCACAGCUCUCCUCAGGAUCAGGCUGAGUCCAGGGCUUCACCUGAAAUCACGCCCAUGCUUGGCUUCCCUUCCUUCCCAUCCCUGCUUCCCUCACCCACUAACCCUCUCCCUUUUCUUAAUGAACUCUGGCACUGGGAUCCUCUUCUCAGGAUCUGUUUCUGAGAAACCCAGCCCUUAACCCUUCUAAUUUUUUUUUUUUGUUUUUUUGAGACGGAGUCUCACUCUGUCGCCCAGGCUGGAGUGCAGUGGCGCGAUCUUGGCUCACUGCAACCUCUGCCUCCCAGGUUCAAGUGAUUCUCCUGCCUCAGUCUCCCAAGUAGCUGGGACUACAGGUGCCUGCCACCACGCCCAGCUGAUUUUGUAUUUUCAGUAGAGACGGGGUUUCACCAUAUUGACCAGGCUGGUUUCGAACUCCUGACCUUGUGAUCCACCCACCUCGGCCUCCCAAAGUGCUGGGAUUACAGGCGUGAGCCACCAUGCCCAGCCUAACCCUUCUAAUUUUUAAAAGUUGGUAAUUGGUUCAGAUUAUAAAAUGAAAUGUUUUAUACAAAACACCUUGCAGACUGUGUACAGUGUGAGGGCAGGCAGUUUGCAGCUCUAGUCUGGGGCUUAGGCUCUGCCACUGUUACAUACAACACGGCAAUAACAGAGUCGGGGAACAGGAGAAGGAAGGGGGUCCCAGGACCAAGUGGGGCACUGGAACCAAAGCUCCAUCAAGGUUACUGCCAAGGUCUUUCCUGGCAGCUGGGCUGUCUUGUAAGACUUCUGGGUGGAGAAAAUGAGAAGACAAAAGAAAGGGGAAGACAGCUGCCCAUCCAUGGAGGGAGAAGUUCAGGAGGCCUUUCAGAAUUCUAUAGUCUUAAUUCCAGGACUGAAGCUCCCUGCCCAUGGGACAGGGGCCAGUGCUAGGGAGAUGGUGUGAGAGAGUGAUGGCAGGCAUUAGUGCUAAGUGCAAAGUGGCUGGUAGAUGGCUCCUCUGGGCAAGGGCAAUGACCCCAGGCACCCAAAUACUCUGGGAAAGGUGGGCUUUUCUAAGUAGGGUGAGCAAUCAUUCUGGUUUGCCCAUGAUAGAGGAGUUUCCCAGAAUGUGGAACUCGUAUUGCUGAAACUGGGAAAGUCCCAGGCAGACUGGAAUGAGUUGGUCAACCUACUUCUAAGUUGCACCUGUAACUAAGAGACCAUGAGAGGAACACAGAGUAGGAUCAGGGGAGUUUAUGGGGAUCACUUCCUUUACAUUCUUGAAAUAAAGCAGAAAAGUGAAUGGGGAUUGGAGUUCCAGGGAGCCAGAGGGUAAUGGAUUUAUCACACCCUCACUCUCCAUCUGUACCCCAUGUUGGUGUGGCUGGAAAAAUGCCAAGUGCAUGCAUCCAGACAUGACAGGUCACUGAGGUCUAAUAUUUAUAUUUCUUCUCAAGAACAAGAUCUUUCUUUUUCAGGAAUUUGCUCCAGCUUCUUGCUAUGAGAUAUAUCCCUUUAAAGUGACUAAAUGAAUACGGGCAUUGGUAUUGCUUUUCCAUCUUUUAAAAGUUCUACUGUCUUUCAGACGCCAAAUCGUAGUGGGGUUUCAUCUCCCUCUGCCAGACUGUACCCCCUGUGAGAGUGGGGACUUUGUAUCUCCAGCACUCUGAACAUGUCUUGGCUUAUGGCAGGUGAUCAAUACAUUUGUAGAAUAAAUGAAUUAAUGAAUGAGAGAAAGAGGCAGCUAUACCAGGAAGGAACAUCACUUUUCUCACCCAUACUGCCCCUUGCUAAUUUCUAUUCAAACAUUUCCCUGUUCCUAGCCAGCUUCCAGUUAUGGACGGUAGAUGUAAGUUGAUGUUCAUUUACUUGCCUGGGUUAAUAGUGCCUGUUUCAUUGCCACCACAAUGGGGCUUGUGUAAGAGUGUUAGAUAAAUACAAUGAACUGUCACUGUAUUUCAAUGCAAAUGUCAGAUCAGCCUCAAGUCAUAUCACCAAGGAUAUUUCACUGAAAUGAAGUUUAUGAAUUUACAGGUGAUUGUUGAUUUAUGAUAUGGCAUGGUUGUCUGAUAAAUUUUUGCUAUUUCAGGCACUGACAGUCACAUUAGGCGCAUGUGUUUAAUCAGAUUCUUAUAACAAUAUUCAUCAUGGUGAAUGCUGAGACCUAGAUUAGGAGGUUACCUGGUCUGAACAGUCUGCACCAUCCCACCCAUGCCGGUGUACAUGUUAGCUGUGGACAUCCAGAAGUUAGUCACCAGCAUGUUGGCAAACACAGACACUCCAGCAAUUGCACAAAGACCUGUGGGCAAAGAAAAAGAAAACUCCAGAGUUAGUUUCAAGGGAUUACAAUGUUUCUGAGGCAGUUUAUGCCUAGAUGAGUUUAGAUGAGUAGGCUGCAGAAUAUUGUAUCCCUAUAACCAAGCACUGAUUAUUGAAUUCUUGCUAUGUGCUAAAUAUUGUGAUAGGUGCUUAGAAUGUUUUAUAUCGCUAAUUGUGGAAGGAUAUGUGUGUGUACAGAAAUAAAUUUUUCAUGCAUCUUGGGACCAAGGCUCAAUAUUCCAAAUAUUUUCAGUCUGGUUCUUUGGUAAUGUCAAAGUAUCUUCCCUUAAAAUCACUUUCUAAAGCCUCACCAAGAAAAUGCCUUUUAGGGAUCAAGUCACAUGACUCUUUUAGGGUUGAGAACCUCUUUUUUUUCCAGCUGAAAUUAAGAGUCAAAAGCUUACUAAGUUUUUUUUUUUUUAAAUAAAAAAAAUUUCUUUUAAUCAACAUAGGGUGUCACAAUGCUGCCUAGGCUGGUCUUGAACUCCUGGACUCAAGUGAUCUUCCUGUCUUGGCCUCUCAAAGUGCUGACAUUAUAGAUGUGAACCACUGCACCCAGCUAAGAACCUCUUAUAUUGGGGUUGGAGUGACAGCUAAGAAGGACCUUGGCACUCAUGAUACACAAUUGGGCCUCCACACUCAGAUCAUGAAUCCCAGUAUGAAAAGUUCUGAACCACAUUCAGCAGUCGGGAGGAGUCAUGUUUUCUCUACCAGAAUGAUUUUGCUUUGACAUUCACAGAAGUGGGAACUCCAGGCUCUGUGUUUACCUGAGACAAUGAACAUGAUCCCGGAGGUCAGCGUCAUGUUGGCUUUGGCAGAGUCCUCCAUGCUGCCAAUACGGAUGCAUUUCAGGGCAAAGAUGGAUACCAGGAGGCCAAUGGCACCCAGGACAAUGCCUACGAUCAUCAGGGCUCGCACUGCCUGCAGCAUGGCUGUGGGACAAGGGGCAAGACACAAGCAGACAAAUAAGACCAGCUCAGCACACUUGAUUAGGCUCUGGUUUAAUAAAACAAAGCAACCACAACUAACCUGCACCAAACCUCUGAGAGACAGCAAAGUCCAUGAACUGUGAACCUUGCCAUUGUCAAAGGAUGUGGAAUUGUGGGAAAUACAAAAUACAUCGCUUACAAUUCUCUGACUGAUGAAGGACAUGCACUCAGAUGUCUUCAGAAUCAGAGAAUUAUGGAUGGUUGGAACUGGGGGGGGGCCUUGGAUUGUAUCUAUUUCAGCUUCUUGAUUUUUAAAGCUUGAUAAUCUGGGGGUCGGAAAGGGGAAAAUAGUUUGUCUAAGGUAAGAGUUCAGAUUGCUGAUAGAGCUUAUAGCUGUGACUUCUAACUCAAAUAUUUUUCUUCUCUUGUGCUUCCAUAUGCGCCAAGAGUUUCACAUAGUUGUGUCCACUUUAGGAAACCCAGAAUUCAUUUAUAGCAUAUGAUGAAACCAAGGUUGCUAAGUGAUAUACCAAGGAUACUCAAUGUUGUCCCUUUCCAAAAGGAACUACUAAGAUUAUGGUGAGCUGUAGGUUUCAGAUGUAUAUAAAACAAUAUAACAAUAUUGGGCCUUUCAACUAGACUACAGUUUAUCAGCAGUUUCCUUUCUAGGAAUCAGUCAUAGCUAUAGGCCCUACAGGGACUCUACUGCAGUGCCCUCACCUCCAGAUAUAUCCAAAGUUGUUUCUAGUGCAUCCUUAAGUUGCAGUGACUCAUAGCAACAAUUGUUUACUGAGCCCCCCUGACUGGCCAUGGGAUGACAGUAGUUAACAACAGGUCAGACAUGGUCUCCGUUGUCAUGGAGCUUAUGCCAAAGUGGGGAACGACAGUCAUUAAGCAUGUCUAUUACAAGUAUAAUUAAUUUAACAAGGAAGACAAAUUAGUCCUGCAUGUGUUCCAGAAGACAAGCCCCCUAGUGUGGGUUGGUCUGGUGGAGCUGAACUGCAAAACUGUGUGGAGAUGCUUAUGUGCUAGACACCAAUUGUUUUAUCCCUCCAGUAUAUCCCCUUUUUUCCUCUUAAGUCCAUGAUUUCUGAAGGAGUUGUUGUGUCUUACAUCACUGCUUUUCAAACUACUUAAAAAUUUAAAUUUCCAAUCUGUCACAAAUUGACAUCCUGACAAAAUACAAAAUCACCUGCUCGAGUGUCACAGGCAUGUCAAAUUAUUAUAAAUGUUUAGAAAUAUUUAUUUUUGAUUUCGGUACCAGAACUCUUCAGGUGGGUAACACAUAGUUUGUGGGCCAGCUUGGUACACAGGCCCUACUUUGAGUAGUAAUAUUGACCUUGAUCUUUCAGGCCCAGACUUUAUACCUGGUGCCCUUGACCAUGGCAAAUUAAUCCAGCAUGGGCAUCUGAGUCAAACCGGGCGGAUGAGACCCUUAUACAGAAUGUUUGUGCUGGACACAGAGAGCAUCAGGCCAGUCUCUCUCCAGGGACUGAAAGUGUAAGAUGCUGUCCUGGGAGUCCAUGGUUUCCUUCAGGUGGUGAGCUGCUGUAUAACGGCAAGCAGAUGAAACCCAACAGUGAGGUAGAGGGCCCUGACAGUGUUUGAGCUCCUGACUCCAGCUUUUCCUAUGGUCCACAUACAUUCCUUCCUUAGGUUUCAGGUGCUAUCCCAGCACCAUUAUUAUUAUUAUUGUUAUUAUUUUUAAAUCCCUACCUGUUUGAACUAAUUCAGGUUGGGGUUCUGCUACUUGAAAUCAAGUGGUUCUAACUUAUGGAAGAUGGUUUCAUCAGUGUCUAGACAUGCUAACCUUUAAAGUCUUAUUGUUUUUGGAGAGUUUCCACCCCUCCAGAUUUGAAGUCAUGACCAGAGUGCUGCUGAAGACCCUUGCAGAUGUGAGGGGACCUCUCAUGCCAAGUCUUAUGGCUGCAAAGACAUCGCAUUCCACAGUGUGGUGUGCGAAGAGAAGAGGUAAAGGGCAUCAUUUUUCUUUUUUGGGAAAUUGCUGAUUUUUUUCCUAGUUAUAUAAGCAAUAACUGCUCAAUAUAAAAAUUUCAGGAUGUAUAGAAAACCAUAAACAGGAAAUGAAAAACAAUAACCUGUUAUUCCAACUCUUGGAGAUAGCCACCUUUAGCAUCCUGGUGGGUAGUUUUCCAGGAGGGAAUUUUUUAAAAAGGAGAAGCAAAACGCUAAUGAGGCUCCCCCUGUCACCUAGACCAAAGGGAGCAAGUCAGGAGCCAGCUAGAAAUGCAGAUGGAGACCUUGCUGAGUUUUAACUAGAAGGGGCUUGUGGGGUUACACUCAAAGGAGGUGUCAUUCCUACCCUCAGUGAGACCAGUUAAUAAUACCCAAGCCAAAUUAAAAUUUGGGAAUGGAGAAGAAACAGGAGAAAUGCUUAACACUUUUUUUCUCUUUGAAGGAGAUACUGAGGGAAUCUGCCUAUAGGGCUGUAGGCAAAGGGCUCAGAGGAAACUGUCAACAAAACAGAGAGUUCUGUCCAGCCCUAGUUUUCAUAGGCAGUUGCUACUUCUUAGUGAAAGCUAGUAAGGAAUUUUCAGACAUUCAAAAAUGUAGUCCAUGUGAAAAAAACCCCUACAAUGUAAGUAAUAAAAUUAUCACCCAUUUUAUGGUUGAAGAAAUGGAGACUCAGGUGAGGUAACUUGCCCAAGGACACACACCAAGGGAAAGGAGGCAGAGCUGGGAGUCAAAUCCAAAAUUGCCUCAAAAUCAUUACUUUUCCAUCACAGCACAUUGUUUUGAGGCACCUUAUUCUGGAAAAAGAGGUAAAGUCCUGGCUUCCAUCAAGGUACAAGGAUCUGUAUACUCUUACAGAAUGUAUCCUCCAAAUUUGGAGACUCAACCAUAAACUGUCAUCUUCCGAAAUGGAUGCUAAGAAUGUGGAAGAAAACAUUCUCCAAAUCUUCUUAGGGAAUAACCUGGCCUGGUAGAUUAUUUAUAAAUGUGACUCUCAAGAUGACAGCAUUCCCAUCUCCUCCAGCAGUCCUGGGAGAGAACUCUCUCCAGUCACCUUGGGAAGAUUUCCCUCUCCUACAACAGCUAACGUCAGUGGAGCUGCCAGUAUAUUCACUCUAAGGUGUGUAUGUAUCAUAAAGCAAUUUGUCAUGCCAGAAGAAUCGGCAAUCAAUGAGAAAUUUUGAAAAAGGAGAGUUAGAUAAUGUAGAACUUGUUAAAGUGCCACCUGCAAUGUCUGAGGAACAGAGGCCCUAGCAGCCUUCUCACCAGAUAUCUGUCUGAAGUAUGAAUGACAGUGUCCACCUAUUCUAGUUCUAUCCCACUGAUCUCCAUAUACUUGAUUCUGAUUCUCUUCUCCUAAAGAAACUUCUGAUUUUAACUUUGCUUCUUUGCUGGAAAGAGAAUUCUACAAACAAUGAUCAUCAGUCUUGGUCCCACUGGCAACUGUCAUGGGAGCCAGGUGCCAGUAAGUGGGAGGAAACUGGCUCCACUGCUCAUUGCCAGAAACCCCCUAAGUCUAGUAAUGACCAUGGAGAUUCAUGGUGGUAAACUCACCUUCCCCUGCACCUGCACGGUCUUACCCUCUGGGAUCCUAAUCUUCUCUAUAGAUAAGUAAGCAGAGAAAACUGCCACAAAGCAGGUAGCAGGUAGGUUUCUCUUUUAGCCAUUCUGUCUCUUACUUGAUAUUCUGAUCAAGAGGCUUAUCAGCUGAUAACAGGUGAGUCAACAGGCUCUAAAGCCUGAUUCCCUGCACCAAAGGUGUGACUACAGCAUUCUUCCCAAUGAACAAUGAAGUGUUAUCAGACCUGAAGGGUGGGCAGGAUUCAGGGCUGAAAGAAGCAAACAGAAAAAUGGGAACUCAGUGUUCCCUCCCUGUUGCAAAAUACCUUAAUUCCCCAAGUAGCUGUGAACUGACAGGUGAGGCGCCCUCAGGUGUGGUUUUUUCAAUACAGGCUGCACCUGAGCAUCUUCUGGGGGUGCUUUUAAAGAAAUGCUGAUGUUUGUUCUCACCCCCAGAGAUUUUCACUUAAUUAUUCAAAGCAAAAUUUCAAGGAAUAAUGCGAGACAACAGCUUUCAAGAAGGGCUCAGCAGAGGUACUCAGAGUGGAGAGUUGGGCUGAAAGAGGGUUCUCAGGGGCUGGCAUCACUAAGUGGAAGUGGGAGUGAGGAUGAUGGGACAGCAGUUCACCAGCAGCCAAAGGCCUGGACUGGGGCCCUGGUGGAGUAGGGGGAUGGGAGGAGCCAUACCUUCAGGCAUAGCUUGCUCCUAGACUGGAGAUAAGAGGGCUAAUGGAGGAGCCCAAAGUGGGGGAGCUCAGAAGAUGGUAGUCUGAGGCCAGACCCCAGAGGAAACGCUCUUGAGAAUAAGAUGGGAGAGGCUAGAUUCUCUGGAGAUUCCAGGGAAUCAACACGGAGGUCCUUUGUACCUUGUAAAAUUCUACAGAACAAUGCGAUACCAGGUGAGUGUUAUUAGGUAAGUCAUUUAAGCUCAAUGAAAAUGAGUCCUCAAUUCUGGAGGGAGUCAAAGAUAUCUCUUGCACAGAUCUGUGAGGAUCAGAUGCUAUUUGGCAUAAACCUAAGCCAGGCUCAAUAAAUGUCAGUUUCCUCUCCUUCCCUAAAAACAAUGUAUCCCUUGGCAACUCCACAAAGCUUUGACUUGUGCUAACUGUAUACAAAUGUGAAUCCUCUCACAUGAUGAUAAAAUAUGGUUGAGGAUUUGAAACAGCCAUGUGUGUGAAUUGCUAUGGGCAAGAGGGGAAGAAAAUUUGAAAAGAAGAAGAAAAGAAAGGCCUGAAUCUAGCAGCACCUAAGUAGUGGAGAAGAUUGGAAAAAUGGACACAAGACCCUCAAUGAGCAGGGAGGUAGCUGAUGGGAGAGGCAGUAUAGGUGGGUUUCUAUCCUCAUUGACCUUCCUCUUCACCUCUGCUAUGAUUUGAAUGUGUGUUUCCCUCCAAAAUUUAUAUAUUGAAACGUAAUCCUCAAUGCAAUACUACCACGAGGUGAAGUCUGCAGGAGGUACCCUCAGGAAUGACAUUAGUGCCGUUAUAAAAGGCCUUGAGGGAGCCUGUUUAUCUCUUUUGCCCUUCUGUCCCUUCUGCCAUAUGAGGACACAGCAAAAGGCACUGUCUUUGAAGAGCGUGAACCCUUACCAGAUGGAAUCUGCUGACACCUUGAUCUUGGACUUCCCAGCCUCCAGAACUGUGAGAAUAAAUUUCUGUUGUUUAUACAUUAUCCAGUCUAAGAUAAUCUUCUUAUAGCAGCAGGAACCAUCUAAGACAUCCUCUAAGAUGAGAUCCAACUACAACUCUGAUGAUGUGUCUCCCCACCAUGAAAUGAUGCUGCACCACUGACUAGGCCAUCCUAGGGCAUGAUGCUUUGUGGUAGCUGCCUCUGCCAUCUAAUUGGGGACCACCACAGCCGCAAGCUGAGCAGGCAUUCUGGUUCCUAGCUUUUCUCAUUGAGCAGUCAGGGCAAGCAGCCCCAUUUACCUAAGCUGCAGGUUCUCUUGAGCUGUGUAGGCCCAUUCUGAGUUCCCCGUGGUGUCUUCUUCAUAUGUACAAUAACAUGUUAACAUUUAGAUGUUUGUCCACAUAUUUGAAGAGGCAUGCUGAUGCUGAAAUAUUUUUCUCUUUUGAAGAGAGGGAAAGCAGUUUGACUGAAAACCAAUAGACUCCCCAACUUUAUAACUAACUUAUAAUCACUUCACCUUCUAGGGCUGGUUUCUUCUACCGGAAAAUGGGGAAAGACAAACUGGUUUCACAACCAGUGAAACCAUUCAGCCAAUAGCAAGAAAUAAACAGACAAGCUCCUUUAAAAAUGAUACUUAUGAGAAGUCUCAUUUUUUUCCCUUAUGGAUUUUUGAUUUAGAUUUUGUGAAGGUUUUGUGAAACUGUUCUCUGGAUUAAAUGUGGUUUGGUUUAAAACUU